rnacentral:lncRNA from 1 species
GAACAUAUCAAAUGCGCCCACGUGACCUGGCCCGGUUGACGGUUGUACGACCUCACAGUUAGACCACCGAUUGCGGUGUACAUGUUAGACAAAAGGUAUCAGUAUCAUGCACUGGGAUUCAAUCAUAUUCAAAUUUAAAAACUAUUUGUAAAACUCAAGUGUGAUUCAAAAAUAUUGUGAUGGACUUUUUAACAAGCUUUAAUCAAUAAUAAAGAGAGUGUUUUAAAAAAUGAAAAAGUAUAUAUUAUAAUAUUUUCUAUUUAGAUAAUGUGAUACGUGAAGGUGGAUUUAGUUCUAUAUUUAUAUAUUAAAUUUUUCCACAAUUAGUUGGUGAAUAAAACUUUUAUAAUGUAUGUAAACGUCAAAUUAAUCACUUAGAAUAAAUAUUUUGAUUCAGUUAGUUUUUUUUUUAGUUUGAAUCUUGAUUAAACACUAAAAAGAUAUUUUUCUUUUAAGUAAAAAUUGUUUAUCAUCGAUAAUAAAAAAAUUGUUAAUUAAUAUGGUAAUAGAAAAAGUGAUGUAGUUCAACUAAUGAUUGGUUGUCACUUAAAUUUAUUUUCAUUAGUAAAAUAUUCAUGUAAAUUUAUUUUAACAUUUUUAAGUAAUCCGUAUAAAGCAUGGCAUUAUAGCUAGCAAAAUUGUUUAAGCAAUUAACUCUUAAUCUAUUUUUAAGGAGUGUAAUAUUACUUUUUUUAAAAGUCAUAUUCACAUAAAUCUGUCUUUAUGAACAUGUUUUUAAAAGGUAUGUUUGGCAACUAUUUAUGUUUUGUGAGUUGAUUUGUGUGUAAAUUUUUUUUAGACUCUAUAAACUUUUAAUAAACAUAGAAAAUUUUAGAAUUUACCCUGAGUUAAUGAGUUAACAAGUUAAAAAAAGUUAGACCAAAAUAUAAGUCAUUUUAGGUAGUAUGUUGUUUCGGAAUAAAAAAAUUCUCAUAUUUAAUAACAUCAAAUUCUUUCUGAGAAUAAUUUACUACUAUUAUAACAUAUACAAAUUAUUAUCUAAUAAUUAUGCAUUACUAGACUUGGUUAUUUGUAUUAUGAAAAUUAUGAUUUAUUAUUUUACUUUAUUAUAUGAUUAAAAUACUUAAUUAAUAUGUUAUUUAUAGAUAUUUUAUUAUUAAUUUUAUAUGAGAUGAACUCUUAAGAGUUAAGUUGACAAGUUAAAUUUAUAGAACUUUCACAAGUUUAUUUAAACAAUCAAGUUUGAUAACAUUUUAUAUAUAUAUAUAUAUAUAUAUAUAUAUAUAUAUAUAUAUAUUCCUAAAAAUCAACAAUUAAGAAUGUCUUUCAAAACUCGUACAAAAUAUGGAAAUGUGAUAUUUCCAAAUUCAUUUUACUGGAUGGAAAUGAACUUUGAUGCGUUGAAUCAUAUGUAGUGAAUUUUAAUAUUCUCCACUAGUUAUGUGAAAUUUCAUGAUACCGUGGUAGCUGAAGUUCCAAUUGAGGCAGAGUUAGUCCCAACAUUUCUAGCCUAUAUACUAACUAUCAAACACUCAUGUUGGUACUGCGGUCAAAAAAAGUUUUGCCCACUCACUAUUGACAUGGAAGUCCAAAAAGCGAUAGGUUAGGGGUUCUUACCUUAGCGUUGCGGCGUGACAAAGGCGAAAGGGAGAGGGGUUCAUGGCUUCAACGUUGAGAGCGAUAGUGCGGUGCGGCGGCACAAAGGUGAAAGCACGAGAGUGGGCGGUUUCAAGGCAACAAGCUAGGUUUGGGCGCGAGAGUAAGGGGUUUCGGGCACAAAAAGUUUUAACUUUUACAUUUUCUAAUCAUGACGGUUUAAGUCACUACUCACUACUCUCAAUGUCAUCAUGCCCCUUGUUCUAAAGAUAAAAAAUAAAAAAACGGCUGAGGGGAUGCAUUAAUGUAAUAUUCGGUUCUAGUCCUGCUUUUCAUCUUCAACCAACAACCAUGCUACGUCUCUCCAUUAUGUUAUUCACAUUAAUAGCCUUAAUCUCAGCUGGAAACUUU